CUACAACAAAAGGGACUUUUAAUCCCACUUUUUACACUUGAAAAAAUAAAAAGUGGGAUAAAAACUUUUGAUCCCACUUUUACAUUUGGAGUCUUAAAUAUAAGUUUGGAACAAGGGCCUUGUUUGGAAAACGGAUAAAAAAAAGUGUUAAAAAUGCUAUUUUUAUGCAUUUGCCAAACACAACUUAGCAUUUUAAGUGGGACUUUUUAUCCCGGUUUUUACAUAAUAACCGGGAUAAAAGGUCCUCAUACAUUUGGGCCUUUUAAUUGUUGGGCCGACUACACAUAUAAAAGGAACAAUAACUUUUAGGGUUUUAUUUUUAUUAGGGGUUGUCUUAUUUUUCCUCCCAGCCGAUCUCUCUCUCUUCUAUCUCUGUCUAAGCGGCUGCCCACAUGGAGAUCAAAUAGGCUCUAUGGUGUCUCUAAGCUGCAAUCCUUCCAUGUUUUCUAUUUUUCGUGCAUUAUCACAGGCCAGCGGCCUUUUUCUGGCGAAGGACGAGUCAACGGAGUUCAGAUCCGACCUCCAUGCCUUUUGAAACUUCCAGGUGUGAAGGUUCGUGGUCGACGGGUCAUGGUUUUUCAUGGUGGACAAAGCUUUGUGGUCGCUAUUUUUGGUCAUUGAUAAUGACUCACUGUUGUUGAAGGUGGUUCGCGUGGUUGUCGAAGGUGGUUCGUGGCUUUUGUUGUACUGAUAUUUUGGGAUUUAUAAAUCUGUACUGAUUGUAUAUUUUACCAAAAAUAUUGUUAAGGAAAAAAAAUCUCUGUAGUGGUUCA